CCUGUUACCCAUGUAUGAGGCUGCGUACUAUUGUGGGCGGUAGUCGGCAAUAGCACGGCCGUGUCACGGAUCCGGACCCGGGGCGUGACAAAAUCCAUCAUGCUUUAAAAUCACUUUCAUAAAUGUCACAUAAAUUUUAUUUGAAGUUGAAGAUUUUUUUUAAAUAAGUACAUAGAAAAGCAUGGAUUAUAAAGCAAAUCCCUUUUAACUUGACAUAACUAUUAUCAUUUUAAUUUUUAGUAUACUAUAUUAAUCUAUCUAUAAUGUGUACCAUCCAUUUAUGAGUACUAAGGUUGUAAAUAUAUGGAUAGACACAUUAAAAUUCCGGUGGCUUCUUUUAGACUUUCGUGUUUGUUGGCAUCAGUGAAUUUUGUCUUGCUAGUUUGUGGACCCAAGCACGCUCUGACAUGAGAUCAUAAAAUAAACAUCAAUAUGACAACUACAAACCAUGACAACCACCAUAUUCUUGCUAUGAUAACUAUGCCUUUGGAACAAAGGCCGCCUCAGGAAUGAGAAAAUGUAAUGGAACACAUUAUAUUACUCCUAGGUACCACUUAAAAGGAUAGACAAAACCAUGAUUAAAAUUCUCCUCAUGUCUUCUUUUAUUUCAAUAAAAAGAAUUCCUAUUAAAAAUCUAAAUCAACCGAAUUGAUGAUCCCAUCAUUAGAUCUUAACUCGAUGCACAUGAAUGUUAGGGUGUCCCCUAUUCUAAGCGAUGCGCCACAACCCGACCCAAUUGUGGUGAGAAGCGAGCAAGGGUUGGCUAGAUCGUUAUCACAAGCAACCCCCUACAACAUGACUAGAGUUGGUCGCAGGCUGGGCCUCGGACCUAAACUCUAUUCAUCUUUAAUCGAGCUUCAGAUCGUGCCUAUUUAAAAUUUGAUCUUUUCCAUGCCCAAUCCCUGCCCAUGAUCAGCUCUAAACAUGGCCCAGUUAUAGUGAUAAAUAAACAAGGAUUAGAUGGGUCAUCCAUAAAUGAUCCGACCGAAGUGAUAAAUAAGCAAAUAUUAGUUAGGUUGUUGCUUGCAAAAGACCUGCUACAGUACAACCUGACUGUAGUGACAAAUAAGCAAGGAUUAGGUAGGAUUGAAGAGUCUUGUAUUAGUAAUCACUAUUGGAGUCAUAUGGAGAUAAGGGAA
rnacentral:lncRNA from 1 species